AGUCACUGACAUUAGAUACCCGUGUAGUCCAGGGUGUAAACGCUGCAGACUUGGUGUUGGGAACCCUUCGGGGGUGCUCAGUGCCGGAGAGAAGUUGUUAAGUCUGCUACUUGGGAGUACGUCCGCAAGGAUGAAACUUAAAGGAAUUGGUGGGGGAGCACCGCAACGGGAGGAGCGUGCGGUUUAAUUGGAUUCAACGCCGAAAAACUCACCAGCAGCGACUGUUACAUGAAAGUCAGGUUGAUGACCUUACUAGAUUUUCAG
rnacentral:rRNA from 1 species